UUACAUCACUUUUAGUAUUUAAUUGAAGAAAGUUAGCAGCCAUCUGUUUGUUGUCUUUAGGUUUUCAGGCUUUACCGUGUCGUGUAUCAUCAGCAUAAAGAUGGAUGGAAAUGCCUCCACGCCUACGAAUACACAAUUUACAGCACAGCUCAUAAAUCCUACAUUUUGUUAACAGCUCAGUAGUUUAGAUUAUAUGAUGAUUAGAAGAGUAAAUUAUUUCUGCACCACAUUGGUUAGGUUUCCGUGUCUAGACCUGUGGAGACCUCUGGUGUCUUGUUCCUGUUUCCUGCUGCAGCCUCCUGCUUCAGGAUCAGUCAACGUUUUGUUUUUUGGACAUUUUCAGAUGAAAGGCUGCAUCCGAGUGCUGAAGGAGCAGCCGCCCAGCAGUGUGGAGGGAUUACUCAACGCUCUCAGGUAUACGACCAAACAUCUGAACGAUGAGGCUACCUCCAAGCAGAUCAAAACCUUGUUGCAGCCAAAUUAACUCCAUGCUUCUUCAGCGGAACUGAAACUGGAACGAUACUGGGAAGUAUUUUGGUCCAAAUU